rnacentral:rRNA from 1 species
AUGAGGACGGAGAUGGUCAUCAAGAUCCAGAUCAGCUCUGAGAAGGGCCAUUCCAAAGCUAUCAAGGUGGCUGCUGCGGUCACCGGCGUUGAGUCUGUCACGAUCGCCGGCGAGGACAAGAACCUGCUGCUGGUGAUCGGCGCCGGGGUCGACUCCAACCGCCUCACCGAGAAGCUGCGGCGGAAGGUGGGCCACGCUGAGGUGGUGGAAUUGCGCACCGUCGACGACGACGACUUCGCCGGCGAGUACCACCCGUACCGCUACCACCCGAGCCCGAGCCCGUACAAGCACGUGACCGCGCGCGACAUGUACUACACGGGGAGCUACCCGCCGCAGCAGCACGCCGGGGGCGGUCGGGACCACUACCGCAACGCCGGCUCGUACCCUCCGACGACGGGCGGGCGAGACUACUACAGCUACGGCGGCGGCGGCGGCGGUGGCGGCUACCCCGCGCAGUACCAGCAGCAGGGGUACUACUACCCGCAGCAGCCGGCUGCGAACAUGCACACGGUGGUGCACCAUGGGUACUCGGAUGACCCCAACAGCUGCUCCAUCAUGUAG